GGAAACGUGCCUGACAAAAAGGGUUGUCUUGAUAUGACAAA
rnacentral:tRNA from 1 species